GAAUCUUCCGCAAUGGACGAAAGUCUGACGGAGCAACGCCGCGUGAGUGAUGAAGGCUUUCGGGUCGUAAAACUCUGUUGUUAGGGAAGAACAAGUACGAGAGUAACUGCUCGUACCUUGACGGUACCUAACCAGAAAGCCACGGCUAACUACGUGCCAGCAGCCGCGGUAAUACGUAGGUGGCAAGCGUUAUCCGGAAUUAUUGGGCGUAAAGCGCGCGCAGGCGGUUUCUUAAGUCUGAUGUGAAAGCCCACGGCUCAACCGUGGAGGGUCAUUGGAAACUGGGGAACUUGAGUGCAGAAGAGAAAAGCGGAAUUCCACGUGUAGCGGUGAAAUGCGUAGAGAUGCGGAGGAACACCGAUGGCGAAGGCAGCCCCCUGGGAUGACACUGACGCUCAUGCACGAAAGCGUGGGGAGCAAACAGGAUUAGAUACCCUGGUAGUCCACGCCCUAAACGAUGUCAACUAGCUGUUGGGGGUUAGAAUCCUUGGUAGCGCAGCUAACGCGUGAAGUUGACCGCCUGGGGAGUACGGCCGCAAGGUUA
rnacentral:rRNA from 1 species